GACGUUAGUUAUAAGAGACUAGCUAAUACAGUUUAUUUUGGAGCAGUCCUCUGAAGCCAUCUUGAGGGAUAUUUUUCUGACACCUUUUCUCCCCAGAUGAUGGAAUUCCUGUGUUCCCAUUGAUUUAUUCCUGAGACCGCCUGAAGUGAAAUUGUUAAGUUACCACUGCUGUGGGUUCUGAAAACCCUGGACAACACAGGGGUUGAGCAGCUGGGGACUGAGCUUCUGAAGACCCGCCAGAUGAGGUCAACAACCUACAGGAGGCACCAGGUGGAAGAGAAAAUUGCAUCACCACACCCAGCCGAGAGGAGGUGCUCAUAAGAGGCACUGAGGAGGGGGACCUUUGAACAGCUCGCCCAAGGAACAAUACUCCUUUCUACCUGUUUCCAAUGAUGGCUGCUGUACCUGAUUCACUGGUCGAGGACUUUGGUCUCUGGUGAAGAACAAGCUCAAGAGCCCAGCAUAGAGCCAUGGUUCACUGGAGCACUAGUAGAAAGUAGUUGAGCCAUCUUGGCAGGAUUUUGAACCUCAGGUUCUGAAGCUCUCACUGAGCAAUCCAGAAGGAAGAGUUUCAUCUGGGCUUCCCUGCCUUUAUGUAUCCUUUUGGAAAAGAAGCAGCAGAUUAACCAUUUAUCAGGAAUAUGUCCAUUGCAAAGGCAGAAGAGGCACAUAGAAUGUCCAUCACUGAGCAACACAGUAGCAUCAGUAGAGAGACAAGUUUUAAACCUUCAUGUUUUGCUAUCCCUGCUUAGGUCAGGAACUAUAAUAUGAUUAAAAAUAGCACAGGGACAGGGACUUUCAGGCAACUGCUGUGGAGCUGUCUGAAUUGUGCACAGCUCUCUGUUAUGCAUGGUAUUUCAUAUUUCUCUUUUAACCACUUUCCUGCAUACCUGUCUUACCCCUGGAAGCAGUCUUCAGAAUGUAUGUAACUUCAUAAAAACAAUGCUGAAAAAUAAAGCAAAUAUGUUUUGUUGCUUAUAGCUUCCUUUCAAAGCAAAUCAAAGACAAAAGGCUGCAUUUUUCCCUCACUAAAUCCAUGUCUCAUUGUCCAGUCUAUUUUAGCUCUGCCAGGUGUGUCAAUGGCUGGAAAGAAACAUUGACAUAAA